CUCCAUUUCCUAGGCUUCAACAGUGUAGACAUGUGACUCACUUCUUCCAUGGAAGAUGCAAGUGGAAACACUGAAUUUGUGUUUCUUUAUAGGUGGGACGAGCAUCCUUGCACUCUCAUCCUUCCUGCUGCCUAAAAUGUGGAUGCAUUGGUUGGAGCCCUGGCAGUCAUCUUGGGCCAUGAAGUGACCUUGAAAGAAGCCACACACAGUGGAGAAACCAACUCAAAUGUUCCAGGGUCUCUGCUGCAUAAUCGUGGAGCCAACUUACCAGCCCUAGACAGCCUACCUCCAGACUUCUUUUACAUGAAAGAAAGUUAAUUUCUAAUCUAUUCAUGUCUGAUGGUCUUAAGAAAGUCGCUUAGCUCCUCUGUACCCUGGUUUCAUGUAUAAAAUGGGAUAAUAGUAUCCACCUUAGAGAUUGUUGAAUGUUGGCUAUUAUUACAUUUUAUUUAUGCUAUUAUUUUUUAAACAGCUUUACUGGGAUAUAAUUUGUAUGCCACAAUAGUUUGCUCACUUAAAUGUGCAAUUCAGUGGUUUCUAACAUAUUUAUAGUUUUGCAAUUAUCACAACUUAAUUUUAGAACAUUUUUAUCAUCCCUCAAAGAAAGCUUAAUAGUCACUCUUCAUUUCCCCUCCACAGUUCCCCAGACUUAGGCAUAGAUCUAUUUUUUAAACGUUAAAUUAUCUUUAAUCACAAUUUAAAGGGUGCCUGAAGGUACUUUGUGAUCAUAAGUACUCCUUAAGACAGAUCCUGUCAGUUUAGAUUCUUCCCAAGAGAAUCACCUUACAUUAUAAUGCAAUUUAUUUGGGGUAAGAGUAUGACAUUACGUUGGAUUUUUCUUAAGGUGUCAAUGUGCGAAGUGAAUGUCACUGUUUAAAUAUACUUUUAGACAGUUUUUUCUACCGUAUUCACUUUCAGUAUUGAUUUUUAUGAACACAAAUCUUUAAAAAAAUCAAAUAGGAUCAUCAUGAGACUUGUGAUGAAAAGGGAGGCAGCUCCCUCCUCAUCGCUGCCCUGUUCAAUGUCCCAGAGGUAGCUACUUUUGGAAUCCUCUAUCACUUACCUCUAUAUUUUUAAAUAACACACUUUUACCACUAUUUUCCAAUUUUUGACAUUAUCUUACAGAAAGAGCAGCAGAUUUAUACCCUUCCCUUAUCCCAAUAUAAUUUUUAUUUUUUAGAGUCAGGGUCUUGCUCUGUCGCCCAGGCUGGAGUGCAGUGAUCACAGCUCGCUGUAGCCUUAACUCUUGAGCUCAAGCAAGCCUCCCUACCUGAGCGUCCCAAGUAGCUAGGACUACAGGUGAACCCAGGGAAGCAAGCAACAGUGUGAUCUUCUCACAAGUCCAGAAAUAAGACCAGGGCAGUCCAGUCAGGGCUGCCCAACACCUGCUAUCUCCAUAUGGUUCACCCCACUGCUGAAUUCCCAUGACUGGACCAGAGACAUGGCACUUGGAUUUGGACAACCACAAACCAAAGCAAAUGCAUACUGACAUACACUGAAUUUGAGCAUGUUCUGAAUGCCGUCUGACACCAAGAAAUACUGUUCUUCCAGGGAGGUCGAGGAAACGGCUGUAGCAAAUGCAAGGCAAGGGCUUCCCGUUAUCUUCCUUAGAGAGAACAAGAGGCACUAAUGACUCCUAGCAAAAAGACACUGUCUACAAGGAAUUAUUUCCUCUGUGAUAUCCUAGCACUGCACCACAGAGGUAUUAAAAAGAAGAAGAAAUGCCAUCUCGCUAUAUUGCCCAGGCUGGACUUGAACUGCUGAGCUCAAGUGAUCCUCCUGCCUCAGCCUCCUGCACAGCUGGGACUACAAGCAUGAGCCACUGUGCCCAGCUCUUUGAUAUUUUAUAUGGUACCAGUAUGUCCUUCCAUUGUGAAUUAUGUCUUUUCACUUUGUGGUGCCUUUUAAUAGAAGUUAAUUUCAAUUAGUUAAAUAAGUCAAACUUUAUGGAUGGUGUUUUUCUAUGACUUAAAUUCUUCUCAAAGUCAAGGAUAUAAAAAUAUUUUCCUGUUAUCUUCUACAGAACUAUAAAACAUUAAAAACUUGAUAGUGUCACCUUGUAAAUUUGGUCUAAAAAAAAAUCAGCAGAGGUGAUUUUUUGUUUCCUUUUAAGAGUCUCACUGUAUUGCCCAGGAUGGAGUAUAGUGGCAUCAUCACAGCUCAUUACACCCUCAACCUCUCCUGGCUCAGGUGAUCCUCCCACCUCAGCCUCCUGAGUAGCUGGGACUACAGGCAUGCACCACUAUGCCCCACUAAUUUUUGUAUUUUUUUGUAGAGAUGGGGUUUCAUCAUGUUGUCCAGGCUGGUCUUGAACUCCUGAGCUCAAGUGACUGGCUACCUUGGCCUCCCAAAGUGGAGGUGACUUUUAUAUAUAACAUGGAGUAGGGGUCCAAUUUCAUUUUUUCCUAUACAGAUACCCCACCAGCACACUGUGCUUUUUAAAAAGACGGUCCUUUUUCCCUCACAUUGCAUGGGAUUAGCUGCUAAUUCUUAACCCCUUCAUCUCUUUACUGUAAAAUAGAAGUAGGCUAAAUCACGUUUCCCAACCUGAAAGGUUUUGUUUAAACCCAGAUUUCUAUGUUUCAUUCACAAACCAGGGAUGGGAGAAUGGCAGAAGGAAUGGAGGCUCAUGGUAGGACUCUGGAUGUAUAAUAAGCUCCUUGGCUAAUGCAUAUGCAGCCAACCUGGCUCCUGCCAACAGAUGGACACUCCGAGG